CUCUGGGGUCUGAAGAGAGGCCAGCGUGUCCCAAAGGCAAGCCCACGGGGGAAUUUCCAGGAGAGAGGAAGGAGACAGGGGAGCAGCAGAUUUAAGACUAAGUGGAUUAUGACACCAUGUGAUGACAUGGUAACUGGAUCACACCAUUCCUCUCCACUGCCCUUGUCUGGGGGAUGGUGGGCGGGCCACUGUUCCCAUGUGAGGGACGGUGAAUGGAUAACUCUAAACGUAGUGACUCAGGCUCACAGCAGUGUAUACAUCGACAUACACAGAAAAUCAGGGACGGCGGUGGUGGUGAGAGUUGGUGUAUCCUGGAGUUACGAGUAGGCACUGGUGGUAAUCUGUGUGGGCUGAAAGUCUGGGGCUUUUGUGCAACCUUGCAUGAAUCACGGCAGCACUCAGUGCCCCAUAGGGCUGGAGAAGCGGACACAAGGCUGAAGGCGCCUUUAACAGAAGGCUCCUUUGCGUCUUCCUUCUUCUCUUAAGCAGUGAGAAGCCUCAUUUCACCGCAGGCAGACCCUGGCCCAAGGAUGUUUGAGGAGAUAGAGGCAAAGGAGUUCAUCUCAUGUAGAGAGAAGAUACUCUACUCUCCCACUCACCUGGCUCGACGGGUCCAAGAACGAGGGUUUCCCUCAAGCCCCAAAGAAACCCGAGUGGACUAUGUUUUCUAUACGAAGCGUUUACAGCCUGCCGUAGCUUUGGCCACCUGCUGCCUACUGCAGGGUAUCUAGUUUAAAGAAGGCGCGGAGCUGUGCAGGGCAAGCAAGCUGCCCUGCGGUCGAGUCCCAGCCUCUCGAUGUAACUUAUAUGCAGUUAAAACCCACAAGGAUUCAGAUUUGUGGUGACCCCUUUAAUAUCUUGCCUCUGCGGAGCAAGAACUGACUUUCCAAGUCCUGGUCCUCUUUUUGCGCAUGCUUGUGAAACUCUCUUCUCUGGAUCGCUGCAGCCAGACCAGAUCAUCUGCAAACCAGCAGAGACGUGAGGGAGCAGAGGCUGCUCUGAGUGCCCAGCGGGAGCGUUCAUUCCCCCGCUCACGUAGUCGUUUACUCAGCGUCUACUGCGUCCAGCUACAGGAAUAAUUGCUGGGGAUGAACAAAUGAUUGCAACACGACCCAGGAGCUUAACCUAAUGGAGCCCACAGUCUAAACAUGUUGAUGUUUCUGAGGACUCAGGGACCACAAAUUUAGAGUCGAAAAGAAAUCUAAAA
rnacentral:lncRNA from 1 species